UGUCGGCAUCAUAUCAAGUAGGUUUAGGCCUGGCCAGUACUUAGAUGGAAGACCAACUAGGAAAGCUAGGUUGCUGCUGG
rnacentral:rRNA from 1 species